rnacentral:lncRNA from 1 species
UAGGAUUUGAGAUCAUAUCGACAUCACCUUCAGAGGAGGAUCACUUGCUCAACAGAAGACUUGGAUCAACACACCAUUUAACCAUUUUUUGGAAUUUUUUUGCAACUGCAGUGCCAAAUUAGUUUCCUGACAUCCUGUUGUCAGUUCAAUCUGCACAUCACCAUUGGAACAAAACACAAAGGUGAGUUGUGAUGGCCUUAUUUUUAUUUUUUGAAUAAAAAAUCAAUAGCUUGGACGCAUACUAAUCAUGGAAAGAUGUUAGUGGAACACUUUGUUUAAUUUAAAAAGAACAAAUUGACGAGACUGCGAAUGACGGUCGGCCAUGGGAAUUCUUUGUUAAUGGCCUUUGUUGAACUUUAAAAAUCAACUGAAUGAGGAAUGAUGUGACCGACUAUGAGGGAUGUCAAUGGCUAGUGUUUGUUUGAGAUUUAAAAAUAAAAUGAAUGCAUGGUAGACAUGGAAGAGUGUCAAUGCUUUGUUUUAAUUCUUAAAAUCAGUGGAAUGAGAAUGAGUGUCGGCCAUGGUGAUUAGUUAAUGGUAUAUAUGUGAUUCAUGCUGACUAUGAGUGGUGUUAAUGGGCUGUGUUUAUUAAAUUAAAGAAAUCAAUGAGAUUGGAGAUUGAGUGGUAGCCAUGGAGGAUUGAUCUAGUGGUAUGUUUGUUGUUGAAUUAAAAAUUCAAAGUGGCCAACCAUAGAAGUUAAAUGGAAUGUAGUUUUUGAUGUUAAUAUGGAAUCUUGAAAUCAAUGCAAUCGGUCAUGAACAUGUGAAAUGUUAGUGUUUACUUAUGCGAAUAAAAAAAUUUCAAUGUAAAAUGGAAAUGGUAAUGUUAGUGGUUGUUUGUCUUAAUAAAAAAUCAAUGUGAAUAUGUUGUGAGAGAGAACUAAUGGCCUUUGUUGAAUCUUUUAAAAAAAUCAGUCAAAUUGGAUGGAAUUACAAAAUUGAAUUUAUGCAAAAUAAAAUGGGCUUUGGGUGGGGCCAAUAUCAAAGAAGUUUAAUUUGAAAUAAAAAAUGAACUUAAAUAAAAUGUCAUGUGUGCCAUUGAUAAUUUCGCAUUCAAUUUAGUGAGAUGUGAGACAUAUUUUAUAUUUAUUAAUUGUGUACUAACCUCUUCUCUUGAUAGCGCAUUGUGGCUCGUUGCCCAGGUACGCAUCCACUUUCAUUUUGGUCAUUCUAUAUUCAUGUUCUGAUCCCCAUAUGUGUAUGAUCGAUUUGAGUAUCCAUUGAUUUUCUUAUUGAUUGCCACGUUAGUUUCAUUUUAUUAGUAAAGACCCGACUUUAGGGACUUAGAGGGAUUUUACAGUCUUUACCGUACUUUCCCGAUAAGUAACCUGAUCACCAAGUAUGAUCCAGUUUUUCACAGACCACAUUUUCCAAAUAAGGAGUUACAUUUAGAGUUUUUCUUUCUUAUUUUGUUUACCCUUUUAAAAAUAAAACAAAAAUAAGUGGCGACUCAAAAUCAUUUCUACUAGAUAAAAUCAUUUUUCAAAUAAAAAGAGAGUUCGUCAUCGAGUGGAAGCGCAUGAGCCGAAGUUCGGGUCCAUAGUUCUAAUAUAAGGCUGCUGCAUAGGUCAAUAGAGCCAAGGGAAUUGAUUGAUAUGUGACAAAGUAGGGCAUUCUGAUUGCAUCCUUUCGGAGGAAGAAGAGUCCUUGGUAUAUUGGGAGGUUCAUGAAAACCAGAACCCCACAUGGAAGAAUCUGCAAUAAGAGAGAGAGUCUAUGACCUGAGCUUGCAUAUCCAUAAUCACCUUCAUUAUGCCUUCAACAACAGUGAACAGGUUGAGCAAAGCCAGUGUGGCUAAGAUGGUAAACAUUGGUGAAGGAGCACCGAACUCCAUGACUUCUUUCUCAAACUUCUUAGAUUCUUCUUCAUCAGCCACCUUGGAAGCGACUGCAAAGGAGGACUUGGAAAACCCUAACUGCUUCAAUAUGGUUUCUGAAAAGCCAAAGAAGUAGGAAGUUGUUCUUUUAAACACCCACAUCCUUUGAUCAUUCCACCAACCCAGGAGAGUGCUACCACACCAAAUAAACUCGCCCAAGCUGUAUGCACAGCUGCUGCUCAUGAGUCAUGACAUAUGCAAAGGGUAGGAUCCAUAGGCUUGAAAUCUGAAGGCACAAGAUGAUUAAUUUCUUAAUAAUUAAAGUAUGUAGCAUCUAUUUAAUAACUUGAGGCUUUUACCUUUGGAAGCAAGGAGAUACCUUUGAGGAGACGAAGCGAUGGUAUAGCGAAGUAGUAUAGAGUAGACAAGCAGUUUGGGGCCCACAACAAGAAGAGACAGUAGGAAAUUUGAAGUUUAAGGGGAAUCCCUUUAUGCCCAUAUGUGAAGGGACAGUAACUUGAAAGGAAUAUUUGAAAAUUAAUUACCAUCAGACUAUCUCUCAUGUUGUGUCAGUGAUUGCAGUAGAGUUGAAAAUUUGAAACAGAUUGAUUUCCAACCUCUGCAUUGUAUUGAUAGCCCUAAGGACAUCUUCCACUGGACAACCAUACUUCAAACCCAUCUGCAAAUGAAUAGAUAUGAAGUUACAUAUCUGUGUAUGUGACUUAAGGAGUGUGUGUGUGUGUGUGUGAGAGAGAGAGAGAGGAACCUCCUUUCUCCACUGAGUGUUACCUUCAUAGCUGCAAUUUGCAAGAACUUUGCAUGUUUCUUCUAGUACACUUGCACUUAAUUUCUUCUAUCUUUCUAUCAUUGUUUCUCGUUGUCUGCUCUCCCUCACAUUCCUUAUCAUACAUCUUCCCACAAAGAGUCUCCCUCCUGUGAAAGCACCCAGUGCCAACAUAGCAAGGCCCUCCAUUGCUAUCAAUACCUGCUAGCUGCACCUUGAUCAUAGAAAUUUUACACAGAAGAGUAGCAAGUAUACUAGAGUUGGCAAACGCCUUCAAAAUCCAUAGCUUUGCCAUCUCUCCCAUCAAUUAGUAUCUGUGAAAUUAGCAGAUGAUCAUUAAUAAGAUCAAACAUUCCAAGAAAAUGAAGAACUAUUCAUUCUCCUCUUUGUUACAUCCUUGUUUCCUCUGAUAGGCUUUGCCCAUCAUGAUAUAAGAUCCUAAGAUCUAUAUCUGAUAAUGAAAAGGAUAUGCUUGUAGAUCAGGUAUGAAUAAAACGAUACACUUGUUAAAUAGGAAAGACAGCGAGAAGUACUUGAAGAAUGGUUUAAUGAUUCCGUGGAUCAGAGACAAAGUCCCACUCUCCAAAUCCUUUGUACUGUUUGCGUAUUUCUUCUGAAAUUUGGCCCACCUUCAUAGCAGCUUCCAUCCGGUUUCUCAUAUUCUCAUAUAAUUUCUGUGACAAAUAAAUAAAUAAGUAAAAGAUAAGUUUUAGCCUUUAAAAUUGAAGUACAUGGGGGAUGGUGUAUACCCCACUUUUGUUCCCAAAUUUCAAACGAUAUUUCAAUCAAUGGUUUGAACUUUUCAAUCAUAGGAGGUUGUGGUCCAGUUGAAGAAAUUUGUCCCAAUUGAAACUGGACCAUAUUUUCUGUGGAGAGCUUGAAAUGGACUCUGGGCAAUGCAGGCAUUGCUGAAUAUGAGCCAAUCAAAAUUGACUGUGAUGUUCGGCUUGGUAUAUUCCUAAGAAUUUGUUUUGUUUACAGUACCUUCACUAGGAAAUGGGCAUUUUAUAUCUAAGCAUUUGGAAUCAUACAAUCUCAUUCUUUGAAUGAUGAUGCAGGACUCUCUUUAUAGAAAAAGAGAAAAUCAUCCAUUUUACCAUUGUUGCAGGACAAAGAACAGAAAGAUGUGAAAGAAGACAUGAAUAUAAAAUAAGCAAACUUUACCUUGAUGGAUGACCAUUCCUCAGCCUUUUGUGGAUCAUCAUCAUUUGGUUCAGGAGUAGAGCUUAAAUAAGCUUCUG